AUGUAUGUCUCAUCUGAGGACCUGAAAUUUUUCUUUUGUUUGAACCUUCAAGCCUGGAGUGGAUGCGCAGUGGCUCCACGUGGAGCAGCCUUACUCGAAGAAUACCCCCAGGAUCUCUCCUUGCCGUGGGAGAUCCGGCGCCUUGACCUGAGGGGUGUGGUCCUCCCGUCGGAACCGGCUCCAGACGCGCCCUCCUAGCAGCCCGGGAAGAUGCGGCAGCUCAAGGGGAAGCCCAAGAAGGAGACGUCCCGCGACAAGAAGGAGCGGAAGCAGGCCAUGCAGGAGGCGCGGCGGCAGAUCACCACCGUGGUGCUGCCCACGCUGGCCGUGGUGGUGCUGCUCAUCGUGGUGUUCGUGUACGUGGCCACGCGCCCCGCCAGCGCCGAAUGAGGGCGCAGGCGAGCGGCUUCCCUGCGCAGGGCCUCCUGAGCUCUAAGCCGGGGCCCCCUGUCUUCUCUGGUCUGUGACUUGAUUAAAGUUUCUCCACUUUUCUCGGGAAGGGAAUAGGGAACGUUUUAUCA
rnacentral:lncRNA from 1 species